rnacentral:lncRNA from 1 species
GUCCUCCCCUGGCCUGUUAGCCCAGGGUCUGCCAUACUCAGUAGAGCACUGAUUUAAUCCAGCUCAGACAGGGAAGGCAGCCCACCCUAGGGACUGGCCCCACCCAAGAGCAAGCCCUCAGGUAACUUGUGGACCUGCAUAGGUGUGGUGCCUAGAACCUCUGCAGCCAGAAUUCUGAUCUAUGGAGAUGAGUAGGAGCAUUCAGAAGAGGUUCAAGCAAUGUUACGUUAUUUCUUGGGACGAAUUUGGAGAAAUUGCUCAAAGUUCUUGCUCAAGAAACAUUUCCAAGCCAGUUUGACAUGCUGCGGAUAGAAGAUUGAGCACAUGGACCGGGUCCUAUGAGACUGGGACUGUGUAAACUUGGGACUGUAAUUUUUCAGGGCUUCAUAAUUAACACCGCAGUUGCUUUGUUGAAGAGCUAUUAGUGUGCUGAACCACAAGUCACUCACUGACAACAGUAAUCAGAGCGGAAUCAAGAAACACGAUGCCAGAUUGGGUCUCAGUCACACUGGUGCCUUAUUUCCCAAGCAUUGGACAAAGAAGAGAUAUUACUUCAAAGUGGAUAAAGAGAAAGGUAACAAUCAAUGAUUUCUGACAAUUUAGCAAAGAUUUAUUGAGUACCUACUGUGUGCCAGGCGUGUGCUAGGUUUGCAGAAAUAGAAAAACCAUGUGAGAUGUCUUGAUGCAAUUUCUUCAAAUAUUGAAGUCUCAAAUUUAGGAGACAAUAUAAAAGGAAGAAAAGGUGGAAUAUAUUGUGCUGAUUAGGUAACAAAUUGAAAAACCAUGGGGCAUUUCUGCUUUGGAGAAUGAAGCUGUAGCCGUGGGAAAUAAAACCCUAUGUAAAUCACUGAUGAAAUUAAUACAUUUUAAAGGUUAUCAGAGCAAAACUGCUGAAUUCUGUAGUUUGUCAUCAGUAAACUAAAUGCGAAAUCACUAAUUUAAUGUGUAUGAAUUACCAGUUGACUUCUAAUGUAUGGAAUAAUAAGAACUAAUGCUGCUUUAGGAGCUGGAAAUGAG